rnacentral:rRNA from 1 species
GACGUAGGGCGCGAGCGUUGUCCGGAUUUAUUGGGCGUAAAGAGCUCGUAGGCGGCUUGUCGCGUCGAAUGUGAAAUCUCAGGGCUCAACUCUGACAUUGCAUUCGAUACGGGCAGGCUAGAGUUCGGCAGGGGAGACUGGAAUUCCUGGUGUAGCGGUGGAAUGCGCAGAUAUCAGGAGGAACACCGGUGGCGAAGGCGCACAUCUGGCCCGAUACUGACGCUGAGGCGCGAAAGCUAGGGGAGCAAACGGG